rnacentral:rRNA from 1 species
CCUACGGGAGGCAGCAGUGAGGAAUAUUGCACAAUGGGCGNAAGCCUGAUGCAGCGACGCCGCGUGAGGGAUGACGGCCUUCGGGUUGUAAACCUCUUUCAGUAGGGAAGAAGCGUAAGUGACGGUACCUGCAGAAGAAGCGCCGGCUAACUACGUGCCAGCAGCCGCGGUAAU